AUGUUUGAUACAAAGAAAAAAUUGAAGUAUGCGGUGAUAAAGUGGGCUAUGUCUACGCAGAGGGUUUUCCGGACACACAUAUCAAGUCCAACAAACUAUAUGGUGCAAUGUGUUGAAACAGGUUGUCCUGGGAAGGUGCACGGGCACGUGCCGAAGUAUGACAUCCACUGGGUUGUCACCAUUGUAAUCCCACAUAAUUGUGUGAGGAAGAACCCGCUGGUGAAGCAUCCGAACCUGACUUCAAGUCUCAUUGCGCAACUCAUGUAUACUAAGAUAGUAGAGAAGAAAAAUAUGGAAGCAAAACACAUCCAGACAGCAGUGAAGGUCAGAUGGAAUUAUGUC
rnacentral:rRNA from 1 species